rnacentral:piRNA from 1 species
UGGGCUGAAUCAAACCACAUCUGGAUGC